UACGGGGGGGGCAAGCGUUGUUCGGAAUUACUGGGCGUAAAGGGCUCGUAGGUGGCCAACUAAGUCAGACGUGAAAUCCCUCAGCUUAACUGGGGAACUGCGUCUGAGACUGGAUGGCUUGAGUGCAGGAGAGGAACGCGGAAUUCCAGGUGUAGCGGUGAAAUGCGUAGAUAUCUGGAGGAACACCGGUGGCGAAGGCGGCGUUCUGGACUGCAACUGACACUGAAAAACGAAAGCCAGGGGAGCAAACGGG
rnacentral:rRNA from 1 species